rnacentral:rRNA from 1 species
AGUGAACGCUGGCGGUAGGCCUAACACAUGCAAGUCGAACGGCAGCACAGUAAGAGCUUGCUCUUACGGGUGGCGAGUGGCGGACGGGUGAGGAAUACAUCGGAAUCUACUUUUUCGUGGGGGAUAACGUAGGGAAACUUACGCUAAUACCGCAUACGACCUACGGGUGAAAGCAGGGGAUCUUCGGACCUUGCGCGAUUGAAUGAGCCGAUGUCGGAUUAGCUAGUUGGCGGGGUAAAGGCCCACCAAGGCGACGAUCCGUAGCUGGUCUGAGAGGAUGAUCAGCCACACUGGAACUGAGACACUGCCCAGACUCCUACGGGAGGCAGCAGUGGGGAAUAUUGGACAAUGGGCGCAAGCCUGAUCCAGCCAUACCGCGUGGGUGAAGAAGGCCUUCGGGUUGUAAAGCCCUUUUGUUGGGAAAGAAAAGCAGCAGGUUAAUACCCCGCUGUUCUGACGGUACCCAAAGAAUAAGCACCGGCUAACUUCGUG